rnacentral:rRNA from 1 species
UACGGGGGGGGCAAGCGUUGUUCGGAAUUACUGGGCGUAAAGGGCUCGUAGGUGGCCAACUAAGUCAGACGUGAAAUCCCUCGGCUUAACCGGGGAACUGCGUCUGAUACUGGAUGGCUUGAGUUCGGGAGAGGGAUGCGGAAUUCCAGGUGUAGCAGUGAAAUGCGUAGAGAUGUGGAGGAACACCGAUGGCGAAGGCAGCCCCCUGGGCCAAUACUGACGCUCAUGCACGAAAGCGUGGGGAGCAAACAGG